rnacentral:tRNA from 2 species
GUUACGAUGCCGGAGUGGUCUAACGGGCAAGUCUAAAAAACUUGAUUCCGUCGGUUCGAAUCCGACUCGUGACA